UAAUACGUAAGUAUCCUUAGAUUUUGGUCGCUCGUCACCUAACCACGCUUUUGAACAAUGUUUUAUGUGUCGGACUAAAUGCGUAUUUAAGCUAUAAUGAUAAACAUUGUGGAUGAAAUGUAUGUUGUGGUGAUCCUGUUUCAGUCUGUCACAGUUGCGUUUGCAGGAACAUUCUGUGUGAGAUUCAGUAAUGGAUCCAGGGAAUCACUAUACUGCUCAACAUCAUGCUGUGGAGAUGGAUAUAACAGCUACUGCUGUGACAGUCAUGAAGGACCUGUCGUAGGUAUAUCUGUUGGUAUACUUGCAAUCGUAGCAGUUGUUGUGUCAGGAUGCGUGGUGUAUUUCUGUUGUUGCCGCAAAGCUAAAUGCUGUCGCCAGCAGGUCUAACCACCGCAGGAUCGAUUUACACGAAUGGUGUGCAGCCAAGCACUAGCAGGUUAUGAUGAAAUUGGGAUACUUGAAUGCCGUAUUCCCGCAACAACAUCCAGCAGACACUAUACAGAAUUGGCAAGAGCCGUCACUACCGUACAGCUCCGGAACUUGCAUAUUAAAAACUUCAAGCGAUGCCAGAUGUACCUAUUAUUAGUGUUAAUUUUAUAUUUCUAUAUUUAAAGAGUUUUAACAGGAAUUCUCGCAUAAUGUUCACACCACUGUCAUUUUAUUGACAAGACAUUGUUCAUGUGCACGUUAAGAUUUCUUCUUAGCGGGUCAUACACUGAUUUUAAAAAAGGCGAAAUAAAACAUAUAUUGCUCGCACUAAAAUAUUGGGCAAUGAUUUAAGACUUCUAUUGUAUUCAUAUUUAGAUGGUAGCUUCAUUUAAGAACUCACAUCUCAUGAAACUUUAGAAUUGAUACUGACGACAAUCCAUUUCAACAGGAAAACUAAAUAAACAAUUAUAAAUGUAUAACAAAGUUGUACA